AUACGUAGGGUGCAAGCGUUAAUCGGAAUUACUGGGCGUAAAGCGUGCGCAGGCGGUUUUGUAAGACAGUGGUGAAAUCCCCGGGCUCAACCUGGGAACUGCCAUUGUGACUGCAAGGCUGGAGUGCGGCAGAGGGGGAUGGAAUUCCGCGGGUAGCAGGGAAAUGCGUAGAUAUGCGGAGGAACACCGAUGGCGAAGGCAAUCCCCUGGGCCUGUACUGACGCUCAUGCACGAAAGCGUGGGGAGCAAACAGGAUUAGAUACCCUGGUAGUCCACGCCCUAAACGAUGUCAACUGGUUGUUGGGUCUUCAUUGACUCAGUAACGAAGCUAACGCGUGAAGUUGACCGCCUGGGGAAUACGGCCGCAAGGUUGAAACUUAAAGGAAUUGACGGGG
rnacentral:rRNA from 1 species